rnacentral:rRNA from 1 species
UCGAGCGGAAGGCCCUUUCGGGGGUACUCGAGCGGCGAACGGGUGAGUAACACGUGAGUAAUCUGCCCCGGACUUUGGGAUAGCCACCGGAAACGGUGAUUAAUACCGGAUAUGACAGCUCCACGCAUGUGGUGGUUGUGGAAAGUUUUUUCGGUUCGGGAUGUGCUCGCGGCCUAUCAGCUUGUUGGUGGGGUAAUGGCCUACCAAGGCUUUGACGGGUAGCCGGCGUGAGAGCGCGACCGGCCACAUCGGAACUGAGACACUGUCCGGACACCUACGGGUGGCUGCAGCAACGAAUAUUCCGCAAUGGGCGAAAGCCUGACGGAGCGACGCCGCGUGAAGGAUGAAGUCCUUCGGGAUGUAAACUUCAUUAGUUUGUCAGAAAAGACCCCGACCUAAUACGUCGGGGAGUUGAUCAGCAAACGAAAGGGACGGCUAACUCCGUGCCAGCAGCCGCGGUAAGACGGAGGUCCCGAGCGUUGUUCGGAAUUAUUGGGCUUAAAGCGCGUGUAGGCGGAGCCGUAAGUACCUUGUGAAAUCCCCGGACUCAAUCCGGGAACUGCUCGGUAUACUGCGAUUCUCGAGGCAGGUAGAGGUCACUGGAACCUUAGGUGGAGCGGUGAAAUGCGUAGAUAUCUAAGGGAACGCCUGUGGCGAAAGCGGGUGACUGGGCCUGUCCUGACGCUGAGACGCGAAAGCGUAGGGAGCAAACGGGAUUAGAUACCCCGGUAGUCUACGCCGUANACGAUGCGCACUA